UACGUAGGGCGCAAGCGUUAUCCGGAAUUAUGGGGCGUAAAGAGCUCGUAGGCGGUUUGUCGCGUCUGCCGUGAAAGUCCGGGGCUCAACUCCGGAUCUGCGGUGGGUACGGGCAGACUAGAGUGAUGUAGGGGAGACUGGAAUUCCUGGUGUAGCGGUGAAAUGCGCAGAUAUCAGGAGGAACACCGAUGGCGAAGGCAGGUCUCUGGGCAUUAACUGACGCUGAGGAGCGAAAGCGUGGGGAGCAAACAGG
rnacentral:rRNA from 1 species